CGUCGCCGAACGGCGGGAGAAAGAAGGGGUAAGAUCCCCAACGGGUCGAGGCGGACGGGUGGCCGCUCCGCAAGGAAAGUGCCACAGAAAGACACCGCCGGCCCCCGGGCCGGUAAGGGUGAAAGGGUGGGGUAAGAGCCCACCGGCGGCCGGGUGACCGGCCGGCCAGGUAAACCCCGCCCGGAGCAAGACCAAAUAGGAGGGCGCCAACAGGCUGCUCGCCGAGCCCUCGGGUAGCGGUCGCUGGAGGCGCCGGGAGACCGGCGCCCAAGAUAGAUG
rnacentral:RNase_P_RNA from 1 species